GGCAAGAACUCUUGGAGUGAUUCAAUCUCACCUUGCAACGUAUCCAUUUUAUUUAUCUACGGAAAGCUAUCUAUCUCCGCUUAAGCCAGCAUCAAAGAAAAAUCUGCAGAAGAAAUUGGGGUUUCAUCAAUUUCAAAUACGGAAUCAAAUUUUGUGAUGGAGACGUUCCUCUUUAUUUGGGUCAAUGUUGACACCAAGGGGAAUAAAUUUUAGCUGUCUGCAACCCACUUACGGCUCAAGUGUGUCCACAAUAUAAUUGUUCUUGGCUAAUAUCUACAAAUUUUGUUGUUCAGGCCUUUGCAUUCAUUUCAAAUCCGAGAAUAAUCAUUAACCUCAU